rnacentral:rRNA from 1 species
GAUGAACGCUGGCGGCGUGCCUAACACAUGCAAGUCGAGCGAACAAACGAGGCUUUCUCUGCUCUUUCGUUACGGACGGAUGGGUAAGUCAUACGUAACUUACCUUUCUCUAUGGGUGAGGUCAGUUCAGGUGACCGGAGUUCUUACUGGAUCUUAUCUUGAACUGGAUGGUUCUAUAGAGAUUGAUUGGUCUGCUGUGACUUAUAGGUGUAUCCGCGUUUUAUUAGUUAGUUGGUAGGGUAACGGCUUACCGAGGCGACGAUGCGUAGGCGAACUGAGAGGGUGAUAGGCCACACUGGAACUGAGACACGGUCCAGACUCCUACGGGAGGCAGCAGUAGGGAAUCUUCGGCAAUGGGCGAAAGCCUGACGCAGCAACGCCGCGUGUGUGAAGAAGGUCUUCGGAUAGUAAAGCUCUGUUAUUGGGGAAGAACCAAUGUGAGUUGAAAAGUGGACGUCUUGACGGUACCUAAAGAAAAAGCCACGGCUAACUACGUG